GAUACGGUGUUGAGUGAAAGUGAGUUGAAGAAUGAAAACAAGUUGAAGAAUAACACAGUUUGAUACUGUUUGCAUGAAAUAAGGACCCAGCCUGGGGCCGAGGCAGUGGCAGCUGCUGGUAGGAGGCUUGUCUGGAGACACAACCACAGUAAAAGACUUAAAGUGGCUGAACCAGAAGCAUGUCCAGGGCACAGCUGAUCUGACAUCUCGUCCACAGCACGGACAGACACCUCUCCUGGUCCCUAUUCCCCGUUCAUGGUCACACCACUCCUUCUGUCUGUCUUCUCAUGGACCUUGGCAGCUGUCUCUGAAAACACCUCAAUAGUGUGGAGUUUUCAGAAACAUCACUCUUGCUUCUGGAUUCUUCUGCUGAACCUGCAAAGAGGAGCUGGUCUCCGGGUGGUGGAGGAACCCCAGCCCUACAUGGAGAAACCCUCAGGACCUCACUCAUGUCUAGCCAGAAAGACUUCGAUUCCCUCUGAGGAUCCCCAAGUCAAACAAGAGGAGUGGAGAGGAAUUUGACAAGAGGAAAAGUGGCCAGAGACAGAGCAAGGGAGCUGGUUGGAUGUGAAAACUUCCAUGAGAGACAUGAAGAAAGGAAACUGUGGUAUUGGGAAGGGGUCUGUGGAGACCCCACCGUGUGCUGCAGCCAGAGACCAUGCAACAGAGGCGAGGACCCUUCCAGGAAGAACUCCCAUCAUGCAUGCCAUCUGUACCUCUGUGUGGAGUAGGAAGUUCUCAAGUUCAAGAUCUCUGGCAGGUAAACAACAAUUGAAACAAUUUCAAGUUCGCGGACAUCCUCGGCACUCAACAUCAACCACUCCGUCAAGAAAGCAAGACUUGGUAUUGUUGAAGAACCUCAGGGUUCGUGCCAACAUUUAGUGGAAAUGGUGAAGCAUCACUGGAAUUCCUGGAGCCAAAGACAGUGACACGUGAAACAAUGACGCAUCAUCUGGUCAGUUUUGUCUUCGAUGUGUGAAGUGCAGUGUCAUCCUUGUCGACCAACUAUCAUGAAGGUCAGAUGUGACAACACGGGGCUGAGAGGCCUUUGCAAAUUAUAAAACACUGCACAGUCCCCAGCUCUGCCUGGAGAGCAUCCUUGGCAGACGUGCCUCCUCUCCAGGCCUCAAGGUCCUCAUCCUUUCACUGAGGACGGUGGACUGGACCUGGGAUGCUGAGAACUGCUCUGCUGGGUGAUGUCUCAACCAGCCCAAGGGCAGGGGGCCCAGCACGGCCACUGCGAGCAAAGUUCUCCCGGAUGGAAUGGAGACGAAAGCCCCAGAUGAGAUGACUCCGAGGGACCUUCUGGACCUGACCUUCUGGGAGGGGUGAGGGUCUCCCUGAGGACCUGAGGGGAGGGCGGCUGGUAGAGGCUGGCCCUGCA